GCCCCGGUAGCUCAGCCCGGCAGAGCGGCGGAGCCUUUGGAGCCGUUGGUCGCGGGUUCGAAUCCCGCCCGGGGCUCCA
rnacentral:tRNA from 1 species